AUACUCUGGUUUCUCUUCAGACCGAAUAAAUCUUUUGCCUUUUACUAAAGAUUUCUGUGGGGAGGAACGACCAUGAGUCUUAAUCAAUUGUUUGAUGCCUGGCGUUUGCUGGGCU